rnacentral:rRNA from 1 species
UACGUAGGGGGCGAGCGUUAUCCGGAUUCACUGGGUGUAAAGGGCGUGUAGCCGGGUUGACAAGUCAGAUGUGAAAUCCUGCGGCUUAACCGCAGAACUGCAUUUGAAACUGUUGAUCUUGAGUACUGGAGAGGCAGACGGAAUUCCUAGUGUAGCGGUGAAAUGCGUAGAUAUUAGGAGGAACACCAGUGGCGAAGGCGGUCUGCUGGACAGCAACUGACGGUGAGGCUCGAAAGCGUGGGGAGCAAACAGG